CCUACGGGAGGCAGCAGUGGGGAAUCUUGCGCAAUGGGCGAAAGCCUGACGCAGCCAUGCCGCGUGAAUGAUGAAGGUCUUAGGAUUGUAAAAUUCUUUCACCGGGGACGAUAAUGACGGUACCCGGAGAAGAAGCCCCGGCUAACUUCGUGCCAGCAGCCGCGGUAAUACGAAGGGGGCUAGCGUUGCUCGGAAUUACUGGGCGUAAAGGGAGCGUAGGCGGAUAGUUUAGUCAGAGGUGAAAGCCCAGGGCUCAACCUUGGAAUUGCCUUUGAUACUGGCUAUCUUGAGUACGGAAGAGGUAUGUGGAACUCCGAGUGUAGAGGUGAAAUUCGUAGAUAUUCGGAAGAACACCAGUGGCGAAGGCGACAUACUGGUCCGUUACUGACGCUGAGGCUCGAAAGCGUGGGGAGCAAACAGGAUUAGAUACCCUGGUAGUCCACGCUGUAAACGAUGAGUGCUAGUUGUCGGCAUGCAUGCAUGUCGGUGACGCAGCUACGCAUUAAGACACUCCGCCGUCGGGGAGGUACGGUCGCGAAGAAUUAAACUAACGAAGGAAGUUAGUACGGCGUGAGACGUGCCGACGGACGACGACGAGGGAGGAGG
rnacentral:rRNA from 1 species